CGACGGUGAACACGGAGGCUUGCUUCGUGGGAUCAGUGGCGAACGGGAGAGUAACACGUGAGCAACCUGCCCCUGACUCUGGGAUAAGCGCUGGAAACGGCGUCUAAUACUGGAUACGAGACGUGAUCGCAUGGUCAACGUCUGGAAAGAAUUUCGGUUGGGGAUGGGCUCGCGGCCUAUCAGCUUGUUGGUGAGGUAAUGGCUCACCAAGGCGUCGACGGGUAGCCGGCCUGAGAGGGUGACCGGCCACACUGGGACUGAGACACGGCCCAGACUCCUACGGGAGGCAGCAGUGGGGAAUAUUGCACAAUGGGCGCAAGCCUGAUGCAGCAACGCCGCGUGAGGGAUGACGGCCUUCGGGUUGUAAACCUCUUUUAGCAGGGAAGAAGCGAAAGUGACGGUACCUGCAGAAAAAGCGCCGGCUAACUACGUGCCAGCAGCCGCGGUAAUACGUAGGGCGCAAGCGUUAUCCGGAAUUAUUGGGCGUAAAGAGCUCGUAGGCGGUUUGUCGCGUCUGCUGUGAAAUCCCGAGGCUCAACCUCGGGCCUGCAGUGGGUACGGGCAGACUAGA
rnacentral:rRNA from 2 species